GACGAACGUUGGCGGCGUGCUUAACACAUGCAAGUCGAACGAGUGGCGAACGGGUGAGUAACACGUGGGUGAUCUGCCUUGCACUCUGGGAUAAGCUUGGGAAACUGGGUCUAAUACCGGAUAGUGCACGAUGAGUUCUCGGCCUAUCAGCUUGUUGGUGGGGAAAUUGCUACCAAGGCGCGACGGGUAGCCGGCCUGAGAGGGUGAACGGGCACAUUGAGACUGAGAUACAGCACAGAUGCCUACGAGAGGCAGCAGUGGGGAAUAUUGCACAAUGGGCGAAAGCCUGAUGCGGCCAUGCCGCGUGUGUGAAGAAAGCAUUCGGGUUGUAAAGUACUUUCAGCGAGGAGGCGUUACUCGCAGAAGAAGCACCGGCUAACUCCGUGCCAGCAGCCGCGGUAAUAC
rnacentral:rRNA from 1 species